UACGGAGGGUGCAAGCGUUAUCCGGAUUUACUGGGUUUAAAGGGUGCGUAGGUGGGCAGAUAAGUCAGUGGUGAAAUCUCCGGGCUUAACUCGGAAACUGCCAUUGAUACUAUUUGUCUUGAAUAUCCUGGAGGUAAGCGGAAUAUGUCAUGUAGCGGUGAAAUGCUUAGAUAUGACAUAGAACACCCAUUGCGAAGGCAGCUUACUACGGGAUUAUUGACACUGAGGCACGAAAGCGUGGGGAUCAAACAGG
rnacentral:rRNA from 1 species